rnacentral:rRNA from 1 species
UACGUAGGGUGCGAGCGUUGUCCGGAAUUACUGGGCGUAAAGAGCUCGUAGGUGGUUUGUCGCGUUGUUCGUGAAAACUCACAGCUUAACUGUGGGCGUGCGGGCGAUACGGGCAGACUGGAGUACUGCAGGGGAGACUGGAAUUCCUGGUGUAGCGGUGGAAUGCGCAGAUAUCAGGAGGAACACCGGUGGCGAAGGCGGGUCGUCUGGGCCGAUACUGACGCUGAGGAGCGAAAGCGUGGGGAGCGAACAGG